rnacentral:rRNA from 1 species
CACAAGCAUUGCCUUGGGCGAAGCCUGAUGCAGCCAUGCCGCGUGUAUGAAGAAGGCCUUCGGGUUGUAAAGUACUUUCAGUUGUGAGGAAGGGGGUGUCGUUAAUAGCGGCAUCUCUUGACGUUAGCAACAGAAGAAGCACCGGCUAACUCCGUGCCACAGCCGCGGUAAUA